rnacentral:rRNA from 1 species
UACGGAGGGAGCUAGCGUUGUUCGGAAUUACUGGGCGUAAAGCGCGCGUAGGCGGCUUUGUAAGUUAGAGGUGAAAGCCCGGGGCUCAACCCCGGGAGGCGGGUGGAUACUGUCAAGCUCGAGUCCGGAAGAGGCGAGUGGAAUUCCCGGUGUAGCGGUGAAAUGCGCAGAUAUCGGGAGGAACACCCGUAGCGAAGGCGGCACUCUGGGCCGUGACUGACGCUGAGGAGCGAAAGCGUGGGGAGCAAACAGG